rnacentral:rRNA from 1 species
AAUGAACGUUGGCGGCAUGGAUUAGGCAUGCAAGUCGGGGGAAUCCCAGCAAUGGGGGAACCGGCGUAAGGGGCAGUAAGGCAUGGGUACCUACCUUGGGGUUCGGGAUAGCCAUCAGAGAUGGUGGGUAAUACCGGAUGACGUCGUGGGACCAAAGAUUUAUCGCCCUUAGAGGGGCCCAUGGGAUAUUAGCUAGUUGGUGGGGUAACGGCCCACCAAGGCGAAGAUGUCUAGCGGGUGUGAGAGCACGACCCGCGCCACUCGCACUGAGACACUGGCGAGACACCUACGGGUGGCUGCAGUCGAGGAUCUUCGGCAAUGAGCGCAAGCUUGACCGAGCGAUGCCGCGUGAGCGAUGAAGGCCUUCGGGUUGUAAAGCUCUUUAGUGGGGGAGAAAAGCCGCAAGGUGUGAUCUAUCCCAAAAAUAAGCACGGGCUAAGUUCGUGCCAGCCGCCGCGGUAA